rnacentral:rRNA from 1 species
GACGAACGCUGGCGGCGUGCUUAACACAUGCAAGUCGAACGGAAAGGCCCUACUUUUGUGGGGUGCUCGAGUGGCGAACGGGUGAGUAACACGUGAGUAACCUGCCCUUGACUUUGGGAUAACUUCAGGAAACUGGGGCUAAUACCGGAUAGGAGCUCCUGCUGCAUGGUGGGGGUUGGAAAGUUUCGGCGGUUGGGGAUGGACUCGCGGCUUAUCAGCUUGUUGGUGGGGUAGUGGCUUACCAAGGCUUUGACGGGUAGCCGGCCUGAGAGGGUGACCGGCCACAUUGGGACUGAGAUACAGCCCAGACUCCUACGGGAGGCAGCAGUGGGGAAUAUUGCACAAUGGGCGGAAGCCUGAUGCAGCAACGCCGCGUGCGGGAUGACGGCCUUCGGGUUGUAAACCGCUUUCGCCUGUGACGAAGCGUGAGUGACGGUAAUGGGCAAAGAAGCACCGGCUAACUACGUG